UUUCACCGAUCCGAGCCACAGUGGGCGUUCGGCGGGACGGUCCUGGCCGUAGGUGGCCAGCAGGGCUUGGGCCUC
rfam:Streptomyces malaysiense strain MTSC 136 60, whole genome shotgun sequence.